UACAGAGGUCUCGAGCGUUAGGCGGAAUCACUGGGCUUAAAGCGUGUGUAGGCGGAUCGUUAAGUGCCUUGUGAAAUCCCACGGCUCAACCGUGGAACUGCUUGGCAUACUGGCGGUCUUGAGCAACCUAGGGGCGAGCGGAACAAAUGGUGGAGCGGUGAAAUGCGUAGAUAUCGUUUGGAACGCCAAUGGUGAAAACAGGUUGCUGGGGCUGUGCUGACGCUGAGACACGAAAGCCAGGGGAGCGAACGGG
rnacentral:rRNA from 1 species